rnacentral:rRNA from 1 species
CCUACGGGUGGCAGCAGUGGGGAAUAUUGCACAAUGGGGGAAACCCUGAUGCAGCGACGCCGCGUGAGUGAAGAAGGAAUUCGUUAUGUAAAGCUCUAUCAGCAGGGAAGAAAAUGACGGUACCUGAGUAAGAAUCCCCGGCUAACUACGUGCCAGCAGCCGCGGGAAUACGUAGGGGGCAAGCGUUAUCCGGAUUUACUGGGGGUAAAGGGAGCGUAGACGGCAGUGCAAGUCUGGAGUGAAAGGUGGGGGUUCAACCCCCGGACUGCUCUGGAAACUGUACGGCUGGAGUGAAGGAGAGGUAAGUGGAAUGCCUGGUGUAGCGGUGAAAUGCGUAGAUAUUAGGAGGAACACCAGUGGCGAAGGCGGCUUACUGGACUGUAACUGACGUUGAGGCUCGAAAGCGUGGGGAGCAAACAGGAUUAGAUACCCCUGAGUC